UUUGGGAUAUGAUGAUAAAAAGAAAGAAAGAGGUUGAUGGCACCUUUGCCUCUGAAACAUGUCUUUAUUUUGCACGUCAGUCUUAUCCUAUU
rfam:Brassica rapa chromosome A5, whole genome shotgun sequence.